AAUGCUUUCGAACGCAGGCUGAUCGGCGGACUCUUAAUCCGUAGGUCGAGUGUUCGAGUCACUCACGCCCCACCA
rnacentral:tRNA from 2 species